AACUGAGCUAAAGAAAACUUUCUUUUCAUCCUUGGAUACACAUUCGGCAAAGCUGAUUAAGUUGUACAGAGCAAGAAAGGGAGUACUUGGCGAGGAUAUUCAAAUCCUUUUGGACAGACUUGAUGAACAGACCACUGAUGUUCUUGUACAUCGAAAACAUACAGCUCUUCAAAGACUCCCAUUAUUUUUGAGGGAGAAGACUGACAUUCUGCUGAGGACUUGUCUGGAAACAGACCCAGAGGAAAGUUGCACCCAAGGCCUGAAAGUGGGUAUCAUCAUUAUUGUUGAGGAUGAUGUUGCCAAUGUCCAUUUCAACCCCAAUAUUGUCAGAACAGGCAUUGUACUGGAGGAGCAGAUUGUGCGGGAUGAGCUGCGUGAUCUGCCCAGUGCAUUUGCACUCCUGUUUGGCUUACUCUAUGUACUAAAUAUUGACUAUCCCAGGGAACUAAAAUAUACUUUUGAGGCAAUUCAAAAGGUGUUUAUGAACCUAGGUUCC